CUGAAGUAUAGAAGGUCACUUGUCCAGUGCCACUCAAUGGUUCUGAGUACAUCAAGAGGAAUCAUUUCUCAUACAGUGAUGAUUGAACUUUCUCAAAGAAGAAAUAGAUUAACUCCUAAGAAGAGUCAUAAAGGACCCAGCGCAUGGCAACUACUGAGUGAAGAAUUUUCCCUUGGGACCAGAUGCAGUGCCAAGAAAAGGUGUGUGGCAUCAGGAGUGAAGACAUACUCUGAGAGUCUUCUGCGGUGCUCAUCACAGAGAGGGAACCAUCAAGCCACUGAAUGUCAGGGAAGAGGAAAGGAAGAGCAGACAGGGGAGUCUCUUCAUUGUCUUUGGAUGGAGAACCAAGGUCAUAGGAAAGAGAGUUCGUGAAAACAAAUCUCUUUAAGUUGCUCCUGUCUCAGAAGGCUAUGUGUUACUGAUGUGAACGGAUAAAUUCACCCCUGUGGUUGGUAUUUAUGGGAACGAAGGAGACAGGUAAGCUGAUGCACUCUUUCUAAAUAUUUGACCCACAAAUGUAGCCAGACACUUAAAAAUAAAAUCUGUGUUUCCUAGCUGUGUAGCUAUAUUAAUAUCAGACUAAGUGACUUCAAGAGAAGAAGUAGUGCCAGAAAUAAAGAGGGCAUUUCAUAAUGAGAAAAAGUUCACUUUAUCAGGAAGACAUCUUAAAUAUGUAUUUGUCUAAUAAGAGUCUGAAAUCCGUGAAGCGAAGAGGAAGGUGUACUUAAAUCCAUAAUCAUAGUUGGGCAUUUUUAGUACUCCACUCUUAAUAAUUGAUAAAACAUAUAGACCAAAAAAAUAAGUAAGAUAGAUAAUAUUUGGAUGGUAAUAAUUGCUUCUCGGCCUUUUGGCUAAGAUCAGGUGUAAUAUAUGGAUGGUAACGUCAACAGUCUUGGUUAAGACAGUAUUUUAUAGAACAUUUAUCCGACACUGUAGAAUACAUAUUCUUUUCAGGUACAUAUAGGAUGUUAACCA